rnacentral:lncRNA from 1 species
CAGUCCUUGGCGCGGCGAUUUGGGUGCUCGCCGGAUCAGCCAACGCCGCCGUCAGAAGGGGAUCGCGGCGCGUUUCAGAACCGGGGAAGGAGACAACAUAGUGACCAUAGAUUUCUCCUCGGACGGUUUAGAUUAGGUUCCGGGUGCCGAUUGGGUGGGAAUGCCUAGAACUGUCCGAUCAGGAUCGAGGGGCCCGAGUCGUUAUCUGCGUAAUUAGAUCUGAGCCAUGCAUCGCGGAUCCGAGGGCGGAUAUCGCGUAUCGGUUCAGGGCAGCGAGUAUCUAAUCGGCACCGUAUAGUUUUGAUCCAACGGCCCGUAGUGCACCGUACCCCUUCGCGGGUACGUUUUACGAAAUAGACCUUAUGAUUUGAGAGAAUACAACCCGCCGUCCAGUGAGGUGUUCACUGAGUCUAGGGAAUCUUCUGCGCUAACCCCCUGGUCUUUUUGAAAAUUGACGCCCAGUUCAGAGAUGAUUAAAAAUAGAGAAAUAAUAUUAGAAAUUCAUUUUUAAUACAAAAACAAUUGCUAGAACUUGGAAAAUUCAUAUCUAAUUCAUUUUAAAUCCAAAUUGACCCAUUCCAAUUUCUAAAAUUUUGUAAUAAUAUUCUCUAUCAUUUAGUGUCUCUGUUUUGACAUGAAAGCAGUAAGAAAAUUAAUUUCUCAUCUAAUCCUAUUUUAAUCACAUUAAACCUUAGGAAAUUCAUAACUUGAAAUCUAUAACUCCAAAUCUAGUGAUUCCAGUUUCUAUGAUCUCAUUUUAAUGUAUAGAUUUUUACUGUAUAUUUUAUUUACAUGUUUGGUGUGAUGUUGAUUUUGGUUAUACUAUGUAUGUAUUGCGUUGAUGCGAGUAGACGAGCAAGCCACUGUGGAUUCUGAGGUUCAACAAGUAGAGAUAGCUGAGCAGGAGCUCAUUGAAGGCAAGUUGUGCCCUUGAUCACUUACUUUCCCAGCCAUGUUCUUAUUAAUUUUAAUGAUCUGCAUAGGAUAAUUUUGAUGGGAGCCUUUAUGUUACCCCAGUUUUGAUUACCUCUAUACCUUGUUCACCCCUGAAAUAUUUUUGGGUAGUACUUGCUAUUGCUUUAUGUGGAUUGGGUAUGGAGAUACACUAUUCAUGAUUAUUCUGUUAUUGACUUGUUAUUAUUAUUGUUCAUGUUAAGAUCAUUAAAUUAAUGGGAACAUGGAGCGACCACCCGGGAAAACAGUGCUACCACAAGGGUAUAAUGGGACGCCCUUGGCUGACUAAUUAGGAAAGCUAGUGGAAGACUACCUUACCCGAAAGGGGCAAGGGCAGUAGGGGAGAGGUCAGUGCGGGGAGGUCCCUGGUUGAUUUUGCUGCGAUGGCUGUCAGCCAGGAACCCUGUACUGGAUCUUCCUAUAAACUGUAGCGGGUUUUCGGAAGCUAGUGGAACUUUGUAAAGGCCUCGUAGUGGAUCCCUAGCCAUUCACCUCGGUAGUGUCUAAGGGCCUUGCAAACCCAGGCGACAUGGGAUACACGGCUUGUGGGUAAAGAUGCGCAACCUCUGCAGAGUGUAAAACUAGUAUACUAGCCGUGCUCACGGUCAAGAGCGGCUCGGACCCUCACAUGAUUAAUUAUGGAACUUAAAUUCAAUUUGACAUUUGCAUCGCAUUUGGGAUUAUUUUACUAUCACUGUUCUUUAUAUUAUUAUUAAGGUUUGGUAUUUACUUACACUUAGUAAUUGCUAAUAAAAUUUUGACCAACUUAUAAAAGCAAUGCUCAGCCUCAGCCUUUACUUCAUUGAUCAGCCUUACACUUCAUGAACUCCCACCUUUGUGAGUUCAUGCCACAUUAUUCCCCACGACUUGUUGAGCUAUGAACGUAUGUGAGCUCACUCUUGCUGUCUCACACCCCCCCCACAGGAGAAGAGCAGGUGAUUCAGGAGGAGCCACAAGGCGAGGAGUUUGAUCUGAUCUAGGUGGCGUUUCUCAGUCGACAUUGGCGCCGACGAUCCUUAGUUCAUUUUAUAUUUAUCUUUAUUUUGUAAUAAGUCUUCCGCUAUGUAAUAAAUACUCUGAUGUUUUAUGACAUUUAUCUCUAUACACUCUGUUAUUAUAUAUGUUGUCUUCUUGGCGCAUGUAUGAGAUGCACCCGGCUUUGUCCUUUAAAACCGGGUGUUACAGAAGUGGUAUCAGAGGAAAUGUUGACUGUAGGACGAAACCUAGAUAGAAAAUGGACAAAACCCUUCACUACUUACCUUACUCUGAUUCAUUCUAUACUUAUCUACUCUAAGACAUGAUGGAUUCCACACCUUGGAAUCCUACAAUUAUAGCCUUUUUAAGAGAUAGGAAACCUAAGACGAAAUUAAAAUUAUUUUCUCUAUUAAAAAAAUGUUGGUUGAUUGUUCUGAUGAUCAAUGCCUGAUUUGCUUCUUUGAUUGAUUGAAACAUUAUAGUUGGGCAUCUUAGCAUGUACCACCAUAAGGUAAUGUAUUAGCUUUAGUAGGUAACACACUAAUCUACUUAGCUAAUAAAUCCUCCAAAGUAACAUGCUUCGUAAUUACAUGCCUUGUCUACAAACCUUUCUUUCUUACCUUAUGUUUCUAACCCAGAUGAACUACCCCUAUAGUGUUAGAAGAGAGCACUAUAGACGUGAUCCUUGGUAUGUUAUGGUUAAGAAAGGCAAAGGCAGUUUAUACACUGCACUAAAGGAACCAUAGAACUCCCCAGUCCCAAAGGAGAAAGAUUUGAAGUUGAAGUUGCAGUAACUACCACCAUCAGAUUAGUGGCAUUCUUAGUCGAUGAGAAGUUUGUUGGUGACCACAUCCGUGUGGUUAAGGAUUUUCCGGAUGUCUUUCCAGAGGAGUUACCAGGGAUGCCACCCGAUACGGAAGUUGAGUUUGUCAUAGAUCUCUUACCUGGAACUGCUCCUAUUUCUAAAUGGACAUAUAGGAUGUCUGUAGAAGGGUUAAAAGAACUCAAGAAGCACUUAACGAAAUUACAAGAGGCUGGGUACAUUCGUCCGAGUCUUCACCUUGGGAGCACCGGUACUGUUUGUACAGAAGAAGGAUGGAUCGCAAAAGGAUGUGUGUGGAUUAUAGGUCCCUUAAUGAUGUUAUCAUGAAGAACAAGUAUCCAUUACCCCGCAUUGAGGAUUUAUUUGAUCGGAUGAGAGAUGCUAGGGUAUUCUCCAAGAUUGAUCUCCGAUCGGGUUACCAUCAAAUGAAGAUUUGGCCAUCGGAUAUUCCCAAGACAACUUUCUCAACCCGAUAUGGUUUAUAUGAGUUCGUCGUUAUGUCAUUUGGUCUAACUAAUACACCAGCUUAUUUUAUGGAUUUGAUGAAUAAGGUGUUUAUGGAGUAUUUGGAUAGAUUCGUCGUGGUGUUCAUCGACGAUAUUCUUAUCUAUUCUAAGAGUGAAGCAAUCAUGGGGAACAUCUGAGAUUGGAGCUACAGAAGCUACGAGAUAAUCAACUCUACGCCAAGUAUAGCAAAUGUGAGUUUUGGAUUGGCAAGGUGCCAUUUCUUGGACAUAUCAUUUCUAAUGGAGGGAUAUCAGUGGAUCCUGCUAAAGUCAAGGAGAUAGUGGCGUGGAGCAUACCCACUACAGUUACGGAGAUUCAGAGUUUCUUGGGACUGGCAGGAUACUAUCAGAGAUUUAUUGAAGGAUUUUUUAAGAUUGCUAAGCCUAUGACCUCACUUCUGGAGAAGGGAAGAGAGUUUAAGUGGGACGAGAAGUGCCAAGAUAGUUUUGAUCAAUUAAAGAAAAGAUUGAUGUCGCCACCAGUGUUGGUUAUGCCAGAUCUACAGAAGGGAUUUGAUAUUUAUUGUGAUGCAUGUGGCUAAGGCUUGGGAUGUGUGCUCAUGCAAAAAGGACAUGUGAUCGCCUACGCGUCUCGUCAGUUACGGAAACAUGAAUUGAACUACCCCACUCAUGAUUUAGAAUUGGUAGCUGUUGUGCAUGCGUUUAAGAUUUGGAGACAUUAUAUCAUGGGAACCAAGUGUCAAGUGUACAUGGAUCAUAAGAGUUUUAAGUACAUAUUCACUCGGAAGGAUCUCAACCUUAGGCAACGUCAUUGGUUGGAGCUUAUUAAGGAUUAUGAUUUGAAAAUUCACUAUCACCCGGGCAAGGCGAAUUUGGUUGCAGAUGCCUUGAGUCGAAAGGAGCAUGUUCAUUCAGCUGUUGUUGCCCAGCUACCCGGUGAGAUUGUUGAGGAUUUCAGGAGACUUAACCUGGGGAUUGUUGCUCAUACCGAAGGAGUUACUAUUGAUGUGGAACCUACUUUGGAGCAAGAGAUCCGCAAGGGACAAAUUGGUGAUGCUAAAAUAAAAGAGAUCAAGGAGCUGAUUACUGAAGGUCGAGUUCCGGAAUUUACGGAAGAUGAGCAAGGCACUGUAUGGUUCAAGGACAGGAUGUGUGUUCCUGAUAUUGAAAGUCUUCGAGAGACUAUUUUAAAGGAGGCCCAUGAUUCAGAUUAUGCUAUCCACCCUGGAAGUACCAAGAUGUAUCAGGAUUUGAAGCAAAAGUAUUGGUGGUAUGGUUUGAAGAGAGAUGUGGCUGCACAUGUGGCUAUGUGCGAUGUGUGCCAAAGAGUUAAGGCUGAACACCAGAGGCCAACUGGACUACUGCACCCACUAAAGAUACCUGAGUGGGAGUGGGAAGAGACUGGUAAGGAUUUCAUUACUGGAUUGCCUCGCACCUCGAAAGGAUACGAUUCUAUAUGGGUUAUUGUGGAUAGACUGACCAAAGUGGCUCAUUUCAUUCCAGUCAAGACAACUUAUAAGGUAUCUCAAUUGGUAGAGUAUAUGUGGUUUGGAUUAUGUCUCUACACAAUGUACCUAAGAAGAUCGUUUCGGAUAGAGGAUCACAAUUUACCUCCAGAUCUUGGAAAAGUUUUCAUGAGAACAUGGAUACGAAGUUGAAUUUUAGUACAACCUAUCACCUUCAGACUGAUGGACAAACUAAAAGGGGCUAAUCAAGUAUUGGAGGACAUGUUGAGAGCUUGUGCCCUUCAGCAUGGUAGUAGUUGGACAAGAGUCUACUUAAAGCUGAGUUCUCAUAUAAUAAUAGUUACCAGGCCAGUUUGAAGAUGUUACCGUUUGAGACUCUGUUUGACAGGAAAUGCAGGACUCCUCUAUAUUGGAUCAGACUAGAGGAAAACCGAUCUUUAAACCUGAAUUAAUUUAAGAAGCAGAGGAACAAGUCCGUAUAAUUCGGGAGAAUUUGAGGGUAGCUCAGACCAGGCAAAAGAGCUACGCUGAUAAUAAAAGAAGACCACUGGAGUUUGAGGAAGGUGAUCAUGUGUACCUCAAGGUUUCACCACUUCGUGGAAUGAGGAGAUUCAAAGUCAAGAACAAAUUGUUCCCUCACUUUAUUGGACCAUUCAUAGUUUUUUUUAGGCGAAUUGGAGAGAUGGCCUAUCAACUCGAGCUACCUGAUAAUCUAUCUGAUGUGCAUAAUGUGUUUCAUGCGUCACAACUUAAGAAGUGUCUCCGUGUCCCUGAGGAACAGUUACCAAUGGAAGAGCUUAGUGUUCAAGAGGAUCUGACUUAUGCUGAGUACCCCAUCAAGAUUCUCGAUACUUUGACUCGAGUUACAAGAAAUAAGGUUAUAAAGAUGUGCAAAGUUCAAUGGAGUCACCACGGAGAAGAUGAAGCAACUUGGGAAAGAGAAGAAGAGCUUCGCAUAGAUUUUCCCCACCUUUUCCCUAGAUCUUCUUAAAUCUCGAGGACGAGAUUAUUUUUAAGGGGGGUAGGAUUUGUAAUACUCAAAAGUGUAUAAAAGGGUUAUAUGGUGAUAUCCUUAUUUUAUGUGUCAUAUUUGCAUCAUGAAAAGAGCAUACAUGUAAUUAAGAGGAUUUAAUUCAAACAAAUGAUAAAAAAAUGCAUCAUGUUGGAGUUUUAUAUGUUUGUGCACUAAAUAAAAUAAUAAGUAUAAUAAUAAUAAGAUAAUAAUUCUAAAGGUUGGAUCAAACCCUAAAUCAAGAUUAGGGUUUUGAAAAUAAGAAAAAGAGAUGGAAACAUUAUACAAAUAAGAUAAAAUAAAAUAUAAAUGAACAAAAAACUCAGCUCAUAUUGUUAUGUAAAUAUAGACUUGUAACCUGGGUUUGAACUUCACAAGUAUGGAUUCAAAUUUGAAAAUUUAAAUUUGAAAGAGGAGAGAGGAGAGAAGAAAAGAAAAGGUAAAAGAAAAAGGGGUAGAAAAUAAGAAAACCGCGCCUGGGCUGGAUUGAUCGCUUGGCCCAACUAGCACACCUCAUACCGCGCGGCCCAACUGUUGUUUGGGCGUUCUGUCGCGAGGGGCCCACUGCGCAGCCUACACCGCCACACGCGUCACUGGGAUGUGGGACCCAGGCGUCAGGCGUCUUCAACUAACCGCGAAACCACCGGAGCUGCUCCUCACGAUGGCUGUGGCAGCUCCGAUCACUCCGGGCUCGCCCUCCCCAUAAAACCUAGAACGUGGGGUGCCCCCUUGGUCCGCUACCUCGUGAACCGUCGAUAGCCACCUGGGUUCAGGGUUUUCCACUCCGGUCAGGCAAGGGGCGGGGCAGGUUUUCGGCCGCCGCCGCAAAUCCGCGUUGGUAGUCGAAAUCUAGUGCAAUUGUGACUGCUCGGUGGUAGUCUAGGUCAUAACCAAGCCUUCGGGGGAGUUAAUUGGACAGCGAACCACCGCAGGAUUGGGAAUUGCUCGCCGACCAUUCAAGUUCGCCGCGAAUUCGUCUGGUACCGCGGGCGAGCAGCUCCGCCCUACAUUCGCAGGUAACCCUUGUCCCGUUUAAUUCCUAGCGCUGUGCGCUUCGUUUUGUAGCCAUCAAUUUAGGUCUCAGUCCUUGGCGCGGCGAUUUGGGUGCUCGCCGGAUCAGCCAACGCCGCCGUCAGAAGGGGAUCGCGGCGCGUUUCAGAACCGGGGAAGGAGACAACAUAGUGACCAUAGAUUUCUCCUCGGACGGUUUAGAUUAGGUUCCGGGUGCCGAUUGGGUGGGAAUGCCUAGAACUGUCCGAUCAGGAUCGAGGGGCCUGAGUCGUUAUCUGCGUAAUUAGAUCUGAGCCAUGCAUCGCGGAUCCGAGGGCGGAUAUCGCGUAUCGGUUCAGGGCAGCGAGUAUCUAAUCGGCACCGUAUAGUUUUGAUCCAACGGCCCGUAGUGCACCGUACCCCUUCGCGGGUACGUUUUACGAAAUAGACCUUAUGAUUUGAGAGAAUACAACCCGCCGUCCAGUGAGGUGUUCACUGAGUCUAGGGAAUCUUCUGCGCUAACCCCCUGGUCUUUUUGAAAAUUGACGCCCAGUUCAGAGAUGAUUAAAAAUAGAGAAAUAAUAUUAGAAAUUCAUUUUUAAUACAAAAACAAUUGCUAGAACUUGGAAAAUUCAUAUCUAAUUCAUUUUAAAUCCAAAUUGACCCAUUCCAAUUUCUAAAAUUUUGUAAUAAUAUUCUCUAUCAUUUAGUGUCUCUGUUUUGACAUGAAAGCAGUA